rfam:Rattus norvegicus chromosome 17, whole genome shotgun sequence.
CAAAAGGCUCUUUUCAGAGCCACCACAUCCACUUAAGAGCUGUG